CUGAUGGAGAGGAAGACGAGGAUGAUGAGGAUGAAUGAAACAAACAUCUAAGGAGAAAAAAAGACCAAGGCAUCAGAGGGUUUUACUGAACUCACAACCGACUUUGCUGCUCAGAUGUGAAACCUUCUGUACAGGAGCUUUUACCUCUUCAAUCCUGUGCGCGGAGAUGUCUACACCAGCAAACAAUGUCCUCCCCAUCUUGUCUUAUUUUUAAUCUUCCUAUCAGCAAAGGAGGCACCAGCCCCUGAAGACCAAAGGGACUAGCCUUGAUGGGGAUUUCCUCUCAAUUUUUUUAUUGAUAUUCGGAGCUCUUGAUGCAACAUUCUACAACAAGCUGCGCAGGACCUGCUGUGCCCAGGGGAUUGAUUGAUAAAGGAAAAGCUCUAUUCUUUGUGAUUUGAUGCACAGAUGAAAAACUUAACACAC
rnacentral:lncRNA from 1 species